UUUUUUGUCUCAACUCUUCUCUUUUCGUCUGAAACACCUCCACCAUGAAAAACAUUUCUGAAACACAUCCAACAUGAAAGAAUAACAAAGGGUACGGAAAAUCUGAGGCUUAGCAUAAGAUUUCAAUCCAGGCUUCAUCAGCUCCCAUUUAUCUUUCUGGUGCAGUGAAAACCUAUCAAAGAACUGGGGCUCGGAGUUGGGAUAUGUAGUGCUUUUUUUCUUUGGUCUCAUAUGAGCUUAACAAAGUCGAUGUGAAAAUUGUUGUAUUUAUAUAUGUUAUCGCGAUCUCAAAAAGCAUGUGUUACAGUGUUUUAGUAUUGCAUAUUACAUUUUGUAUUAUGCUUCAAGACUGUAGCAUAUAUUGUCAGGAAGCUACUAAUAUUAACGACAAGUUCGCGGGUCGUUUGGUGUAGUACUGGGCUUCUCAUGCUGGAAAACAGCACACGCUCCAUUUUUAUACAUUGGACCUUCAUUUAUUGUAAGGGAGUAGCUUAAUGUAUCGAAACUGAAAUUAGUGACAUCUACUGCAAUGCAUUAUUGUAAAUGGUAUUCUGAAUUUAGGUUAUACAGUACUAGCUACUAAGCUACUUAAUAUUUUGUCGAAUGUAAUUCUGUUGGAAACUAUCAAUAGUUGUAUUAAGCUAGGUGUGUAUCCAUGGUGUCAGAAAAUGUCAAUAAGUUCUAUUUUA